UCUUUAUUAAUUAAUUUAAAUAUAAUAUUAGAUUUAAUUUAUUAUAUAUUAAUUUAAUUAAUUUUGUUGGGGUAAUAUAAAGAUUUAAUUAAUUCUUUAUUAUAAAAACAUUAAUUUAUGAGUUUUUGAUCCUUUAUUAAAGAUUAAAAGAUUAAGU
rnacentral:rRNA from 1 species